rnacentral:lncRNA from 10 species
AUUCCACCGAGGACCCAAUGGAGGAACACCUCAGGGAGAAGAAAAAGGAGGCCCCAUGGAAACUGAAGGUCAAACCCCUGCAUUUGUCUGAGGAAUACAGUUGCUUUCCUAGCUUUAUCUUUCUGAAUGAGCCUACGAGAUGAGAAUCUGACCGAAGUUUCAGGAGUCAAGGAGAACGGUGUAUGUGGGGCAGUCCCUCCCGUGUGGACGAAGAAUCCAGGUGAUGAGGAAUGUGCCGCUGUGUCGCUGGCUUUCCUGCACACAGGCAGCCGGAGUGGAGCUUCCUGUUGUGAUGAGGACCCGGGCUGUGGCGGGAGAAGUGGUUGCUCCAGGGAGGGUGGCCCAGCAGCAGCUCGGUUUGUGCUCUCACCCACCUCCUCCACACAUGCCAGCCCUGUUCCUCAGCACCCAAGGCUGCCAGAGGUCCUUCAGCAGCUCCCAUGGCUGCCAGUGACUCUAUGUUUCCUAGCGACGGUGGCCAGUGAGAUGUUUCCAGAAAUGACCCUAGCUCUUUGCCAGGUGACAGCUUCAGGGACGAACUGCGUGGCAGAGAGCAUUUUCCUCAUGAGAAAUGCUGGCUUUUAA